CCAGGGGGCCGGGCAGCCGCGUGAUCGCAAGAUCCCGAGGAAAGUCCGGGCUCCACGAAACAAGGGUGGCGGGUAACGCCCGCCGGGCGGAGGAUUUCGGUCCUUGGCCAAGGGAAAGUGCCACAGAGAGCAGACCGCUAACCCAGAAAUGGGCAGCAAGGGUGAAAGGGUGCGGCAAGAGCGCACCGCGCGGGCCGGCAACGGACGCGGCAUGGCAAACCCCACCCGGAGCAAGACCGAAUAGGGACUGCGCGCUUCUUUCGGGAAGCAGGCCUGUUUCGGGCCAGCAGUCCGGGUUGGUCGCUUGAGCGCGCCCGGCAACGGGCCGCCUAGAGGAAUGGCUGCCGACGCGGAUACGGUCCACAUUGCAAGGGCAACCUUGGGGGAUACCGUCCGCGCCACAGAACCCGGCUUACAGGCCCCCUGGCAUU
rnacentral:RNase_P_RNA from 1 species